rnacentral:lncRNA from 1 species
GAAUAUUCACAGAUAAAUGUUGUUUGUUACUGGAUGUUCAGUUCAAUUAUGGCACUAAAACAGGGCAUCAAGAUUUAAAGUGAACUGGGCUUAACAGGUCACUAUUUUCUUCCAUUUCUCACCUCAGCAUGAGCACACACAUCAGAGAACUGGGGCAUAAUUGAGUAUGUUUUUUUAUUUAGGGUUUGUAUUUGGAAAUUUUGAACCAUUCUUUCUCAAAAGCCAGGGCUCUGCACUUUAUAUUAUAAAUAUAAUAUAAACCUACUCCUGUUGCUGAUCUGUCCAAUAUGUGAUGUUUACAUACUUCAUUUUAUUUCUCAGAGCCAGAUUUCACUUCAGAUGAUGUUUAUCUCCUUUAGUUGAACUAAAGCAAUAUGUUGAGGCACAGUAAAACGUGGCCCUGUGCUAACAAUCAUUUCCAGAGGUCAACACCUUGUUUCAGUGGAAAGCUCUACACUUCCAACAAGGGGUAAUCAGCCUCAGAGUUCCUUGCGAGAGCCGGACUCUGUGAAGGAAAUCACUUCUUGAGACAAAUAGAUGGGCACUUGUGUUCGCUGGACACCACCGGGAGGAAGUGGUCUAAAUAUCUGGGUUCUUCUCUGGGGGAGAUUAUUCCUACAGGCUGACUGUUCAGACAGUUCCUGCAGCCUGGCAACAUCCUCAGCAGAGUACUUCUACAGCAGUGUGCACUUGCUAAGGAUGUUGUAGAAACUGAAAGUUUAUGGGACGUCAAGGACAAGCUCAUGGAAACAAGUCCACUGAGGUUGCUGAAUAUGUUUGAAACUAUGUCUGGCCCAGGAUGCCUCUGAACUGCAAAUGAUUGGAGGCUGGGAGAGCACUGGGAUGAAGUACUUGCUUCAGUGUUUGCCCUGUUCUUACACUCUUAUGUUAUCAAAAAAUUUGGGUAAGCAAUUGCAAAUUUCAACUUUAAAAAUAUGAUUUUCCUUUUUCUAAUCAAAGCUCAGUUGAAUUUUCUGGCUUCUGGGCUCUCAUAUAUUAUAUUAUAUAGUUCUAUAUUUAUGAGAUCUCAGCAGGCCUACAAUUCGUUUAGUUAUUCCAGGCUAAACUUCUGAUUUUUGUUAGCUAAGCUGCUAGGAAACCUCAUGGUGUAAAUCUCUCUGUUGGUAUUCCUGCAAAACUUAAAAAAACUUCUAACAUAGUCAACACAGGAAAUUCUCCCCCACACUCCAA